rnacentral:rRNA from 1 species
UACGUAGGGUGCGAGCGUUGUCCGGAAUUAUUGGGCGUAAAGAGCUCGUAGGUGGUUUGUCGCGUUGUUCGUGAAAACCGGGGGCUUAACCCUCGGCGUGCGGGCGAUACGGGCAGACUUGAGUACUGCAGGGGAGACUGGAAUUCCUGGUGUAGCGGUGGAAUGCGCAGAUAUCAGGAGGAACACCGGUGGCGAAGGCGGGUCUCUGGGCAGUAACUGACGCUGAGGAGCGAAAGCGUGGGGAGCGAACAGG